CACACAGGAAGCCAGAGUGAAAGGCUUGAGAAGCAGAACACAAAAGGCCGGUGGUAGCUGGUCCCAUGCAGGAAGGUGAGGUUCUGGAGGUCCCUCCGCCCCCUCUGGACAUCGAGGGGUCCUCGGCGUACACGAUACGAGCUAUUCUGGACUCAAGACGCCGGGUGAGGGGCAUGCAGUACCUCGUUGACUGGGAGGGGUAUGAUCCGGAUCGCCCUGUGCCUCGGCCCCCGGGUCAUCCCCGAGGCCGGCGUCAGGGGGGGGGGGGUUACUGUCACGAAUAUUACCGAAGGUGGCUCCCCUUCUUGUUCGGGUGGGGCUCGGCGGUCGACGUCGCCGGUCUACUAGCUGCCACCGAUCCUUUGUUCCGUGUUCGUUUGGUUUUGUCUAAUUGUUUUCACCUGUUCAUUGUUUGGUUGUUAGGGUGGUGUUAUUUAAGUUAGUUUAGCCCGAUUCUGUUUGUGCGGGCUUGUUAUUCUGUAUUUGUGAGAGGUGUUAGUGUUUUGUUGGGUUUUCUCGCUGUCCUGGUAUUUUUACCUGAGGGUACAUAUUGUAGUAAUAGUUACGCCUGUGUUGGGUAUAACUAUUUUGUUCUUUUUGAUUUUGGACAUUAAAGCGUGUUUUUUUCCCGCA